GACAGAGGUGGCAAGCGUUGUUCGGAUUUACUGGGCGUAAAGAGUGCGUAGGUGGUGAGGUAAGACCUGUGGGAAAGACCUGGGCUUAACCCAGGAAGGUCGCAGGUGACUGCUUUGCUUGAGGACGGGAGAGGAGAGCGGAAUUCCCGGUGUAGCGGUGAAAUGCGUAGAGAUCGGGAAGAAGGCCGGUGGCGAAGGCGGCUCUCUGGAACGUUCCUGACACUGAGGCACGAAAGCGUGGGGAGCGAACAGG
rnacentral:rRNA from 1 species